CUGAUUAGAGCAUAGACCAUGCAUAGACCAUAUAGACCGAUUUUGACACUUGUGUCAGAUAGAUGUGUAAGAAGAAGCGCCAAACAAGGCAUAAAUAAACUUACGCACAUUAUUAACAAUUUCAUAGUCAAGUAGAUAAUAUGACGUCGUGUGUAUUUCGAUAUUGUAAAAACACUUCAAGAAAUGUCAGCGCAUCAUCAGGGAUCAGUUUUCAUCGAUUUGUUCACCCUGAGCACCCGAAUAGAGAGCAAUGGAUUAAGGUUGUUCGAAAGGAUAGAUGCGAAAACACGUGGCUGCCUUCUAAAGCAUCUCAUGUCUGUUCUUCUCACUUCCAACCUGAUGACAUUUACAGGACUGAAACUGGAAGAAAUUUCCUUAAAAAGACAGCAAUUCCGAGCAGUAAUCCUACCCAGCGUGUUUCAGAGAGUCGACAGGAUUCCCCCACAUCGUUAGAAGAAGUACAAAUAUCCGACUCUGAUUCAAUUAUUGAUCCAUACGAAAUUGAUAAGCUGAAAAUUGUGAUAAGAACACUCAACUCUGAAAAAAAUGAGCUCCGUGGAAAACUUUGUAAAAUACAAAACCAAAAUAAAUAUCUCCGUAAAAAAACAAAACGUUUAACUGCAAUGGUCAAAGAAUUAAAAGAAAAAUUGAACCAGAACACAGUUCGCCGACGGUACAGAACCAGUUAUUAAAAAAGCUGGAGUUAAACCUAUUACAAUACACUAAUAAAAUUGUAAUUUGAAAAUGAAUCAUUAAAUUUAAGACACACUGGAAGUGCAAGUCUAAGAUUUUCCUAAUAUUUAUUUUUAAGAAAAAAAUACUUUGUA